CUACGGGAGGCUCCAGUGGGGAAUAUUGGGCAAUGGGCGCAAGCCUGACCCAGCAACGCCGCGUGAGGGAAGAAGGUUUUCGGAUUGUAAACCUCUGUCCUUGGGGACGAAGAAGUGACGGUACCCAAGGAGGAAGCUCCGGCUAACUACGUGCCAGCAGCCGCGGGAAUACGUAGGGAGCAAGCGUGUCCGGAAUUACUGGGCGUAAAGGGUGCGUAGGCGGCAUAUUAAGUCAGGUGUGAAAUACUCGGGCUCAACCCGGGGGCUGCAUUUGAAACUGAUAUGCUUGAGUGUGAGAGAGGAAAGUGGAAUUCCUAGUGUAGCGGUGGAAUGCGUAGAUAUUAGGAGGAACACCAGUGGCGAAGGCGACUUUCUGGCUCAUAACUGACGCUGAGGCACGAAAGCGUGGGGAGCAAACAGGAUUAAUACCCCCGUAGUC
rnacentral:rRNA from 1 species